rnacentral:rRNA from 1 species
GACGAACGCUGGCGGCGUGCUUAACACAUGCAAGUCGAACGGAAAGGCCCUGCUUUUGUGGGGUGCUCGAGUGGCGAAAGGGUGAGUAACACGUGAGUAACCUGCCCUUGACUUUGGGAUAACUUCAGGAAACUGGGGCUAAUACCGGAUAGGAGCUCCUGCUACAUGGUGGGGGUUGGAAAGUUUCGGCGGUUGGGGAUGGACUCGCGGCUUAUCAGCUUGUUGGUGGGGUAGUGGCUUACCAAGGCUUUGACGGGUAGCCGGCCUGAGAGGGUGACCGGCCACAUUGGGACUGAGAUACGGCCCAGACUCCUACGGGAGGCAGCAGUGGGGAAUAUUGCACAAUGGGCGGAAGCCUGAUGCAGCAACGCCGCGUGCGGGAUGACGGCCUUCGGGUUGUAAACCGCUUUCGCCUGUGACGAAGCGUGAGUGACGGUAAUGGGUAAAGAAGCACCGGCUAACUACGUG